rfam:Schistosoma mansoni strain Puerto Rico chromosome 1, complete genome
AUUCACAGCUGAUGAGUCUCAAAUAGGACGAAACGCCCGUCCUGGAU